CCUACGGUGGGCAGCAGUGGGGAAUAUUGGACAAUGGGCGAAAGCCUGAUCCAGCCAUGCCGCGUGUGUGAAGAAGGCCUUCGGGUUGUAAAGCACUUUCAGUGGGGAAGAAAGCCUUGGGGCUAAUACCCUCGAGGAAGGACAUCACCCACAGAAGAAGCACCGGCUAACUCCGUGCCAGCAGCCGCGGUAAUACGGAGGGUGCGAGCGUUAAUCGGAAUUACUGGGCAUAAAGCGCGCGUAGGCGGUCUGAUAAGCCGGUUGUGAAAGCCCCGGGCUCAACCUGGGAACGGCAUCCGGAACUGUCAGGCUAGAGUGCAGGAGAGGAAGGUAGAAUUCCCGGUGUAGCGGUGAAAUGCGUAGAGAUCGGGAGGAAUACCAGUGGCGAAGGCGGCCUUCUGGACUGACACUGACGCUGAGGUGCGAAAGCGUGGGUAGCAAACAGGAUUAGAUACCCUAGUAGUC
rnacentral:rRNA from 1 species